UUCCGCAUGUCCUUGCAAUGUGGUUACAAACUGGAUCACCUGAUGGGUAACCCAUACAGUCAGAGAGAGAACAUGCAAACUCCACACAGAACAGCACCUGAGGUCGGGAUUGCAUAUGAAUUGCUAAUAUUAUGAGGCAGCAGCUUUACUAGCUGUGCCAUUGUGCACCCCUAAUAGGGUGCUGACAAGUCCACACCUGACCUACUGCAUUGUCCUAUCUUCAUAAAUGCUUGCAUCGAAACAGUGCAGAGGAUUACUAAAUUAAUUCCAAAUGGAAGGGUUAAUGUAUGAAGGAAGAUUGUGCAGGUUGGGCCUACACUCCUUGGCGCAUAGAAGAUAUGAUCUUAUUGAAACAGAUUAAUUUGGAAGGGGUGGACAGUGUGAAUACUGAGGAUAACUUGCAUUUUUAGAAUCUGGGGCAGAUUAAGGGAUCACACGUUUCUCAUCCUGGUGAAUCUUUGGCAUUCUCUUCUCCAGGGAGCUGUGGAACGAGAGUUACUUAAAAUGUUCAAGUUGGAGAUUGUCAGACAUUUCAAUAGCAAAGGAAACAAGGGGUUUGAGGGGGGGAAAGUGGUGAAGCCAUGAAUUUCACGAUUUCAGUGAAAGGCGGAGCGUGCUCGAAGGGCCGAUUGGCCUCCUCCUGCUUGGUAUAUUUAUCACAAGAGCUAUGUGGAAAUGGCACUGUCUGAUCUGUGCUGAGCAAGUUUGUUAGGGUUAACUGUAGCAUCGGCGCGAACAAAAUGUUCGAGGUUUGUACAAUGCAGGUGUGGUCCAGCAGGCGGAAUGAGCCACUUUUCGAGAGAACAAGUUAGGCAAAGAUGUGCGGGCUGAAAUAUAAAAUAAAAGGAAACGGGGAAAUAUAUUGAAAUUGGAGAAUGGCCGUGACAGUGAAUAAAUGGGCGACAGGGAGACAAAAAGGAAGCAUGCCAGAGAAUGGGCUGUCCCUGGAGGAAACAGACUAUUCGCUCCACGUUCCCUUGUUUGUCUGAGAGCCUUGGCUGGAAGGCGGGGCGGUAGCGGCAUUUGCCCUUAGCGCUGGAGCUGUGUGUGCAGGUAAAGGGCUGUGCCCCUCGUUAACACGCGAUGCUCUGUACAGCUCCCGGUGAGGGCGAGCAGCAGCUGAAUGAUUGGACGAGGUUCUAACAUGGGAUCUGCUCGAUAUUCCCAAUACUGCCUUCUGUCGAGAAUGGCGAGCUUGGAGAACCACCAGGCAACGACAUCUUUGUAACAUAUUUUUCCAGAUCCCGACUCCCGAAUCCGGCUCCAGGAUUUUGGGGUGCCGUUAAUCGCAAGGAGUGCAGCAGCUUCCCAAGGUCAGCCUGUCUGUUCCAUCCGAGUCUGCCAACAGGAAAGGGCGCAUCCAGGGAUUAUGAUGAAAGAACAUGGCACAAUCUGUGAGGUUACAUCAAAAGGAUCAUGAGUCCAGGUUACUGCUUUAAAUUGGUGUUCCACUAUUCCGGAGACUUGUCCUGACUCAUCCAGCUAAGUGCCACGCAACAUCUUGUGUCACGACAUCUCGACGGUACAGGCGAUUUCCACAUUGCUGCUUUUGUGGAAACACAUUAAUGUAUUAAAAAUAAAUCUGGAAGGAGGUGUUUGAAAGGCAAAAAGGAAUAUUUACACUGCACAUUUCAGGAUCUACUGACUUCAGUAUCCAACAAUUUCAAACCCAUUCAUUUCAUGGACGAUUAACUCCAGAAUCCACUGCACAGGACUUAUUAAUUUCAAGAACCAAUAUCUUCACAGGUCACCACCUUCAGAAUUCAUGAAAUUCAGGAACCGCAUCUCCUAAAUUCAUUGUACCACAUGGGCAAGCUAACUACAGGAUUUACCAGUUUCAAGAAUCCAUGAACUUCAGAAAUUCGUAACUCUACAGUCCACCAUUGCUAAUGACCACUAAGUACAAUAUUCACUAAUCCCAGAAUACAAAACCAUCUAACUCCAGUUUUGCCAAACUUCAAGAUUCACAUACUCCAUGAUCCACAGAA